rnacentral:rRNA from 1 species
AUGUGUAUACCAAAAAAGCAAGGAGCCAUGGGAUUUAGGGAUAUCCACUGUGUCAAUCUUGCACUGCUAGCUAAACAGGCUUGGCGGCUGAUUGACAACCCGGAAUCUUUAUGUGCAGUAAUUCUCAUGGCAAAGUAUUUCCUAGAGGGAGACCUGAUGAAUGCUACUUCGGACAGAAAAGGAUCAUACACAUGGCAGAGUAUUAUGGUAGGAGUGGACACAUUGAGGAGGGGCUAUAUCUGGAGGAUUUGGGGACGGUCAGAGCAUUGA